rnacentral:snRNA from 1 species
UUUCCUCAGGGGCACAGAUACUAAAAUAGGAGUAAAAAAGAUUCUCAUGGACCCUGCGUGAGGAUAACAUGAACACUCUAGAGCAUCCCAUAUUUUU